rnacentral:misc_RNA from 1 species
ACGAGUGCGGCCCCUUCGGGGUGCCAACCUCCCACCCGUGUCUACCGUACCACGUUGCUUCGGCGGGCCCGCCCCAUGCUGGGGGGCCGUCGGGGGGCAUCUGCCCCCGGGCGUGCGCCCGCCGGAGACCCCCACACGAACGCUGUCUGAAGACUGCCGCCUGAGUGGAUUGAUCAAAUCAGUUA